rnacentral:rRNA from 1 species
ACUCCUACGGGAGGCAGCAGUGGGAAUAUUGCACGAAAUCGGGCGAAAGCCUGAUGCAGCAACGCCGCGUGCGGGAAGAAGGCCCUAGGGUUGUAAACCGCUUUCAGCAGGGAAGAAAAUGACGGUACCUGCAGAAGAAGGUGCGGCCAACUACGUGCCAGCAGCCGGCGGAUGACACGUAGGCACCAAGCGUUGUCCGGAUUUAUUGGGCGUAAAGAGCUCGUAGGCGGUUCAGUAAGUCGGGUGUGAAAACUCUGGGCUCAACCCAGAGACGCCA